ACAUGCCUACAACAUAGCGUUAAUGCACUGGAUCCCAUUAUAAAUCUGUAGUUAAGCGUACUUAGGAUAGAGUAGUACUGGGAAGGGUGACUGCCCGAGAAUUCCUACAGUUUUACAUGCC
rnacentral:rRNA from 1 species